rnacentral:lncRNA from 1 species
AGGCAUAAUAUAAAAUGUGUUUAGUUGUGUGGUCCCACUGAUUAAUUUUCUUUGUCAUCACUUGAUAGGAAGAAAAUUGCUUCGAAGCAUGAAAAACUAAGAAUAGGCAGAUCUAGCGUCCUCCCUGUCAUCAUUAAAUCAGGGAAAAAACAACAAUUAACACAGGCAAAGCCAAAGAGGUUUGAAAGUCAUCUCCCUGCAGAGCUCUUCAAUGCCACUCCUGGAUUAGUUGGAGAGAGUGUCAUUAAGGAAAAGGAAGCAAGUGCUGUUGUUCACAAUAUGAAACAAGACUGUGAAAAAACCAGUGUCAACUUGGGUCAGAUUAAUUCCUGUGCAUAUGGAAGGACUCCUAAGGGAGAUGUGUGUCAUUCAGUAUGCAAAGGAAAAACAGAUCAAAACCCAUCAAGUGAGACAGACUGUAUUCAAGUAUCCUUGUCUUCCCAAGUAGAUUCAUUUUCUCAGUCUCAACUGACGGCUCAAGAGAGCAAUCAUCUGGGAUCUAGCAAAGUCUUCCGUCAGAAAUUCAAUAGCAGUGUUAGUUCACUCCCUCAUCUGGAAGGCCAAACGAAGCACAAUUUCAUUGUAAACGCCACCAGACCUCAUCCACAAGACAG